rnacentral:rRNA from 1 species
CCUCGGGCGGCUGCAGUGGGGAAUAUUGCACAAUGGGGGGAACCCUGAUGCAGCGAUGCCGCGUGGAGGAAGAAGGUUUUCGGAUUGUAAACUCCUUUUAUCAGGGACGAUAAUGACGGUACCUGAAGAAAAAGCUCCGGCUGACUACGGGCCAGCAGCCGCGGUGAUACGUAGGGAGCGAGCGUUGUCCGGAAUUACUGGGUGUAAAGGGAGCGUAGGCGGGACGGCAAGUCAGAGGUGAAAACUGAGGGCUCAACCUUCAGACUGCAUCUUAAACUGCUGUUCUUGGGUGAAGGAGAGGGAAGCGGAAAUUCUAGUGUAGCGGUGAAAUGCGUAGAUAUUAGGAGGAACAUCGGUGGCGAAGGCGGCUUACUGGGCUUUUACUGACGCUGAGGCUCGAAAGCGUGGGGAGCGAACAGGAUUAGAUACCCCAGUAGUC